GGGUGGUGGUGUGGGUGUUGUGUGUUGAAGGUGGCUGCAAGGCAGGGAUGAAGGCAUAGUGAAAAAGAAAACAAGAAAAGUGGGACUUGUUUCAGCUACAAAACUGCAGCUCCUCUAGUAUGUGAGCAAAAUUGCUCCCUGGUAAUGGUCCAAAGAAAUUUCAUACAAUUUCAAGCACAGCAGUUUUAGGGAUGCAGCAAUAUAGCAAGCGGAAAGAGGCAUUCAAACCCUGCCCCUUAAUGCAAAAAUAUGAUUAGUAAUAUCAGAGUGGUUUAUUUAUAAUAUUUGGAUGAAUGAGCGGUUUUCAUCUUACUAUCUUCUUAGUCUUCAUUCAGGCAUUUACAUUGUAAACUUUUUCUAUUUUGCACUGUACACCAAAGACUACAGUUACUUUCUGAAUAUUUCUGCCACAUUGAGCAAGUUCUGACUGAUACAACAUUCAAGAUGCAUUCAGAUACUGGAAAGACAACUGAAUGAAAUUCCAGAACAUAAUAAAGAUUAUAUAAUUCAGAACAACAUUGUUGAGAAGGCACCUUGCAUCUGCCAGAGAAUUG
rnacentral:misc_RNA from 1 species